GGGCUCAGCCGGGAUUUGAACCCGGGACCUCCUGCACCCAAAGCAGGAAUCAUACCCCUAGACCACUAAGCC
rnacentral:tRNA from 1 species